rnacentral:tRNA from 1 species
GACUCCGUGGCGCAACGGUAGCGCGUCCGACUCCAAGACCGGGAAGGUUGCGUGUUCAAAUCACGUCGGGGUCA